UACGGAGGGUCCGAGCGUUGUCCGGAAUUAUUGGGCGUAAAGGGCUCGUAGGCGGUUUGUCGCGUCUGCCGUGAAAGUCCGGGGCUCAACUCCGGAUCUGCGGUGGGUACGGGCAGACUAGAGUGAUGUAGGGGAGACUGGAAUUCCUGGUGUAGCGGUGAAAUGCGCAGAUAUCAGGAGGAACACCGAUGGCGAAGGCAGGUCUCUGGGCAUUAACUGACGCUGAGGAGCGAAAGCAUGGGGAGCGAACAGG
rnacentral:rRNA from 1 species